UAAAACCAGCUCCUCGAGUGGUCGGGAUGUUUAUUGGGCCUAAAGCAUCCGUAGCCGGUCUCGAAGGUCUCCUGUUAAAUCCAACGGCUCAACCGUUGGGCUGCGGGAGAUACCACGGGACUAGGAGGCGGGAGAGGCAGACGGUAUUCCGUGGGUAGGGGUAAAAUCCGCUGAUCCACGGAGGACCACCAGUGGCGAAGGCGGUCUGCCAGAACGCGCUCGACGGUGAGGGAUGAAAGCUGGGGGAGCGAACCGGAUUAGAUACCCGGGUAGUCCCAGCUGUAAACUAUGCAAGCUAGGUGCUGGAGUGGCCGCGAGCUACUCCGGUGUCGCAGGGAAGCCGUUAAGCUUGCCGCCUGGGUAGUACGGUCGCAAGACUG
rnacentral:rRNA from 2 species